CGUAACGCGUAUGCAACCUACCCUUAGCUGGGGGAUAGCCCGGAGAAAUUCGGAUUAAUACCCCAUAGUAUCACCAGAUGGCAUCUGAAGGUGAUUAAAGAUUUAUUGGUUAAGGAUGGGCAUGCGUGACAUUAGCUAGUUGGUGAGGUAACGGCUCACCAAGGCAACGAUGUCUAGGAGUUCUGAGAGGAUGAUCCCCCCACACUGGUACUGAGAUACGGACCAG
rnacentral:rRNA from 1 species